UCCCGACUGAAUUCAUUUUUUUCAAAUUGAGGAGGAGAUAACAAUAAUAUACAAGUAUAAUAAACAUGCGAUAUACACAUAUAAUAAAAUGAAAUAAUCAAAUAAGAAACGGCCUAAGUUUGCCUAACGUCAAUAUAUACAAAACAAUGAAUAAAAGAUAUUGUUCGAACUUUGUUCGAAUAACUUCUUUGGAAAGAAACUCAGGGUAUCUGUAAAGACACUUAGUAAAACUGUUAGUAAUAAAUAAAUAUGAAUAAAAUUAAAUGAAUUGGAUAAUAAUUUAAAAAUAAAAACCCG
rnacentral:lncRNA from 1 species